rnacentral:rRNA from 1 species
ACUCCUACGGGAGGCAGCAGUGGGGAAUAUUGGACAAUGGGCGCAAGCCUGAUCCAGCCAUGCCGCGUGAGUGAUGAAGGCCCUAGGGUUGUAAAGCUCUUUCACCGGUGAAGAUAAUGACGGUAACCGGAGAAGAAGCCCCGGCUAACUUCGUGCCAGCAGCCGCGGUAAUACGAAGGGGGCUAGCGUUGUUCGGAUUUACUGGGCGUAAAGCGCACGUAGGCGGACUAUUAAGUCAGGGGUGAAAUCCCGGGGCUCAACCCCGGAACUGCCUUUGAUACUGGUAGUCUUGAGUUCGAGAGAGGUGAGUGGAAUUCCGAGUGUAGAGGUGAAAUUCGUAGAUAUUCGGAGGAACACCAGUGGCGAAGGCGGCUCACUGGCUCGAUACUGACGCUGAGGUGCGAAAGCGUGGGGAGCAAACAGGAUUAGAAACCCGUGUAGUCCCAUGA